rnacentral:snRNA from 1 species
GUGCUCAGUUCAGCAACACAUAUACUAAAAUUGGAAUGGUACAGAGAAUGACAUGGUCCCUGUGCAAGGCUGACAGGCAAAUUUGUGAAGUGUUCCAUACUAAA